rnacentral:misc_RNA from 1 species
AUGCCAUUAAUGGUAUUUCUCACACUGAUACAGAAACUCCACUCAAACUUGCUGAGUACUACGGGAUUUCAGAAAAGGUUUUCAAGUAUGACACCAUUCAAGACAACCCACCAGCUAAAAUCGACAAGAUUGUGACACAGCCUAAUGUCCUGAACAUGACCUUCCGUAACUUUGUGGAGAUCAUCUUUGAGAAUCAUGAGAAGACAAUGCAAUCAUGGCACUUGGAUGGG